rnacentral:tRNA from 36 species
GGGCGCAUAGCUCAGUUGGUAGAGCAGCUGACUCUUAAUCAGCGGGUCGUAGGUUCGAAUCCUACUGCGCCCACCA